GCCACCAUAGCUCAGCUGGUAGAGCGGCUGAUUUGUAAUCAGCGGGUCGCGGGUUCGAUCCCUGCUGGUGGCUCAA
rnacentral:tRNA from 1 species